rnacentral:tRNA from 1 species
CUCUGCGCCCUGAGGUUAAAC